UUAAAAAUGAAAAGGAUGGUCCAGAACAGGACCAUCAAACAUGUUUAUUCAUAAGCCCACAUUUAUGUUUUGUAGUUAUCAUAUUCACAUAAGGUCCAUGUAAGCAACCCCUUAAACAUAGUUUUUGUUUUUAUUUCCAUGUUCUCAGUGCUCUCAGUAUAAACACACAUUUUUCUCCUAAAGUUUUAAAGAAUGUAUCCACAAAACCGAUUUAUUUCAACCCAGUUUAUGAUUAGGAUUCAUUUUCUGUUUAAUAUUCUAAUAAUUUUCUGUAUUUUCCUGUGGAUCAUUAACCUUUCUUGUAUUUGUAGAGUAGGGCUGCACAAUAUAUUGUUAGUUUAUCAUUAUCUUAAUAUGAACACACAACAUCUAUAUAGCUGAGAGCUGGCAUGGUACUGGAAGAGCUGUGUGUCUGAAAACAUGGUAAAAACUCCUGAGUUUAUUCCUGGAAAUC